GUGCACGCUGGCGGUAGGCCUAACCCAUGCACGUCGAACGGCAGCACCGUAAGAGCUUGCUCUUACGGGUGGCGAGUGGCGGACGGGUGAGGAAUACAUCGGAAUCUACUUUUUCGUGGGGGAUAACGUAGGGAAACUUACGCUAAUACCGCAUACGACCUACGGGUGAAAGCAGGGGAUCUUCGGACCUUGCGCGAUUGAAUGAGCCGAUGUCGGAUUAGCUAGUUGGCGGGGUAAAGGCCCACCAAGGCGACGAUCCGUAGCUGGUCUGAGAGGAUGAUCAGCCACACUGGAACUGAGACACGGUCCAGACUCCUACGGGAGGCAGCAGUGGGGAAUAUUGGACAAUGGGCGCAAGCCUGAUCCAGCCAUACCGCGUGGGUGAAGAAGGCCUUCGGGUUGUAAAGCCCUUUUGUUGGGAAAGAAAAGCAGCAGGUUAAUACCCCGCUGUUCUGACGGUACCCAAAGAAUAAGCACCGGCUAACUUCGUG
rnacentral:rRNA from 1 species